rnacentral:rRNA from 1 species
AUUGAACGCUGGCGGCAGGCUUAACACAUGCAAGUCGAGCGGAGUGAUGGUGAUUGCACUAUUACUUAGCGGCGGACGGGUGAGUAAUGCUUAGGAAUCUGCCAUUUAGUGGGGGACAACAUUCCGAAAGGAAUGCUAAUACCGCAUACGUCCUACGGGAGAAAGCAGGGGAUCUUCGGACCUUGCGAUAAAUGAUGAGCCUAAGUCGGAUUAGCUAGUUGGUGGGGUAAAGGCCUACCAAGGCGACGAUCUGUAGCGGGUCUGAGAGGAUGAUCCGCCACACUGGGACUGGGACACGGCCCAGACUCCUACGGGAGGCAGCAGUGGGGAAUAUUGGACAAUGGGCGGAAGCCUGAUCCAGCCAUGCCGCGUGUGUGAAGAAGGCCUUUUGGUUGUAAAGCACUUUAAGCGAGGAGGAGGCUCUCCUAGUUAAUACCUAGGAAGAGUGGACGUUACGCGCAGAAUAAGCACCGGCUAACUCUGUGCCAGCAGCCGCCGUAACAC